rnacentral:lncRNA from 1 species
AUGAUGAAACAGAAGUGUGAGAUGGUAGAGAAUUUACUCCAAUGUACUGUCAUAUUUCAGGGAGUAAGGAGCAGCCGGCUGAGCCCAAACUCCAGGGUGAAAAUGAACACCUGUUCACAGCGUGCCAAGAACUCAGCCGCUGUGGGUUGGAGGGCAAGUCUUGAGAAGAUUGGCCUGGCGGGGAAAAUCACUCUGUUGCAGGCAGGAAAAAAAAUUGGACAAUCUAAGAAAAAAUACAAAGUAUGUACAGUACUACUGAAAUAAGUAUUAUUCAGACUUGUUCAUGUAAAGCUAUACUGUUGCUGUUUUGGUGAACUGCCACUUUUGAUUCCCUCUGCCUUUAGGAUUGCAACUAUCCCACGUCAGGUGAGGGGGUGAGGGGAUGAGUGGGAAGACCACUGCUGCUGCAUGGCCCUGGUUUGCCCUCAUGGAUGAGGUGUUAGGACAGAGGCCUUCUACCAGGCCUCCAGUUGUAAUUGACUCCAGGGCCCAGUUCAGCAGUGGGCACCCAAGUGCAGGAUGACGAACGGCAGGAGGAUGAGGCCCAGCUGGAGCCAAGACUGGAAAAGAGAAAGAGGGACAGGGAGGAUGAAUUCCUGGAAUUAAUCAAAGAGGACAUGAGGCUGCAGAGGGAGAUGGAAGAAAGACGUGCUGAGCUAAUGGACAGGCUGAUAUGUCUACUGGAGAAGGUUGUGGGAAAAAAACGAGUAAAGUAUUGUAAAUGCAACCCAUUGUAUGAGAGAGUUACACUUUUUAUAUGAAUGUUUGUGCAAAAUAUGUACAAAGAAUACAAAAUAAUUUAAGUUCUGUAAAUACAAGUCACACUUUAUUUGAUUUGUUGGACAAACAAUGUACUACAUUAACAGAAUGUAUGAAGUCCCGUGAAUAAAAAUCAUUUGUUAUACUCCAACUGUGUUUGAAUUAUUUUCUCAUACUAUUCAGGGGUACCUCCUCCAGGGCAGACACCUCAGCAGAAAGCUGAUCCUGCCAGAGAGCACAACUGACUGCCUCCAAACCAGUCUCCACCUCAUCUUGCACAUCAUCCUCAGGCUCAUCCUCAGGGGACACAACAUCACCAGCACUGAGGCAGAUGUUGUGCAGACCCACAUAGCAAAAUUGGUACGGCCCCGAUC